AUGUAUGGACCUAACUCUAUUUAAUGUAACACCCCAGUAUCAAAUACUGAACCCUGCUGCACAGCCUAUGCCUAUAUAAAAUAGUC
rnacentral:tRNA from 1 species